UACGAAGGGGGCUAGCGUUACUCGGAAUCACUGGGCGUAAAGCGCACGUAGGCGGAUCUUUAAGUCAGGGGUGAAAUCCCAAGGCUCAACCUUGGAACUGCCUUUGAUACUGGGGAUCUCGAGUCCGGAAGAGGUGAGUGGAACUGCGAGUGUAGAGGUGAAAUUCGUAGAUAUUCGCAAGAACACCAGUGGCGAAGGCGGCUCACUGGUCCGGUACUGACGCUGAGGUGCGAAAGCGUGGGGAGCAAACAGG
rnacentral:rRNA from 1 species